CCCCUCUCAGGAUGGCACCUGGAGAGUUUCCAGUACACUACUAGGCUCAGCUACAGGAGGGAGCGUCAAGCAGAGGCCUACCCAUUCCAUUCCUAGCUUGGACAGUGGCUAGAGAGUGGAAGGUAAUCUGCUACAAGU
rnacentral:snoRNA from 1 species